GAAAUAUCACUAUCAGUCAUCCAGUGCUCCAUUUUCAAAGGUCCAGGUCCCAGCUCUGCCAUCUCUACAAGGAUCCUCUUCCCGAGCCCAGGAAUUGAUCAAUUUAAAUACCAGAAGAGAUUUCAUCUACAUCAGAGGUCACGAAACCAAUGGCUCCUGGCAUCUGGCAGAGGGGUGAUUUCGAGGAUUCCAGUUCCAUGUCCGGCAGCAGUCCACUGCGUCAAUUUCCUCAGAGCCACACCCAUGGGAUCCAC